rnacentral:rRNA from 1 species
UAGGGAAUCUUCGGCAAUGGGGGGAACCCUGACCGAGCAACGCCGCGUGAGUGAAGAAGGUUUUCGGAUCGUAAAGCUCUGUUGUUAAGGAAGAACGAGUGUGAGAAUGGAAAGUUCAUACUGUGACGGUACUUAACCAGAAAGGGACGGCUAACUACGUUCCAGCAGCCGCGGUAAUACGUAGGUCCCGAGCGUUGUCUGGAUUUAUUGGGCGUAAAGCGAGCGCAGGCGGUUGGAUAAGUCUGAAGUUAAAGGCAGUGGCUCAACCAUUGUAGGCUUUGGAAACUGUUUAACUUGAGUGCAGAAGGGGAGAGUGGAAUUCCAGGGGUAGCGGUGAAAUACGUAGAUAUAUGGAGGAACACCGGUGGCGAAAGCGGCUCUCUGGUCUGUAACUGACGCUGAGGCUCGAAAGCGUGGGGAGCGAACAGG